GGUCGUGUAGCCGAUUUCAUUGUCGGCGGAGACGCCGACAUCCUCGACGGCGGUGAGGACGAGGAGAGCCACCAGGGACAGGCCGACGACGACGGUCAGGUUCACCCUAGCUUUCGCCAUGGCGAUCCGAGCUAAUAUAGCUAGCUUCACAGAUGAUCGACGGGCACCUCGAUCGCUCGAUCUCCUUCUCUUUCUCCUGGUUUGUGUGAAUCUGUGAUGAGUUAAUUGUUGGCUAAGGCUAACUGAUUUUAUAGUGUAGCAUAUGUCUAAGAUAUGAGAGGAUUAAUUAAUGGUCCAGGAGUGUUCUAGCUAGGGGUUUGUAUUACCGCAUGCAUUGAUGAUUUCAUGGUAAAAACUAACAAUAGCAUGGAUCAUGCAGGGAUGGAUGGCUCAUUUUGGCCACCAUCUAAUGUAUGGUGUGGAUAUAUAUAGCUUUUCUAAAGUUAGGUUUCUGAUGUGCGGUGCAACUGACUACUGUAACUGUUCGCUUUUAAUUUAUUGGCCGUAGUUUUGAACUAACAAUCCCUGACAGUGGCUUUCAACGGUUCAUAACCGCCUGCGAAUAUUGUGCUUAUAAAUUCUAUGAUAAAAAAAAAGGCUAUAUGUGAUGAGUUGUGUUACUGCCCAUAUGGUUUCAUGGCAAGAUUUGUCUAUACCGAUUGGAAGAUAUAUAUAAAAGAAAAAGGCUAUAUGUACCAACUUUUUUCGUACUAACACUGAAACAUAAUUGACUAAUGCACCAGAAGAAAUACUCAUUACGUUUCAAAUUACUUGUCAACUUUGUCCUAAUUAAGUCAAGUAUUCCUAACUUUAACUAUUAAAUUCAAGAAAUUUAUGUGUGAACUAUAUAUUAUAAAAGCAUAUUUCUCAUGUUGAAUCUUAAAGCAUAAAGCACUACUAAAAAAACCUAGAUAGGUGUUGGUUGGGAACCCAACAUAGGUGCCGGUUUUUUCCAACUGGCACCUAGAAAGUGAUACAGAUGAGAGAAAUCAAAGGUGCCGGUUUUGAAACCGGCACCUUUGUGGUCCCAAGAAUAAAAAAAAUCGGCUCGAUGCCAAACAUGCCCAAUUAUCGAGCCACUCGCCAAACAUGCCCAAUUAAUAUUUAUGUUGACGCCAAAUCGUGUUGUCAUGUUAUGUGCAACUCGCAACGGCACCCGGAGAUGCGCCGCCGCAGGGAAUGGUAGAUAUAUGCCACCGAACGAACACCCGGGAGGGACCCAUCAGGGUUAACGCGUGCUAGUUUGUCCUAGGUUCAACUGGCCAGUUAGGACAUCCUGUAACGCCGACGAGAGACGACGAACAAUUAAGAAAUUGGAGUAGAAUAUACUUUGCAUGGCAUAGGUAGCAAGGAGGAGGAAGAUAUGGAAUACAGAGGGUUUGGACAAUAAAUUUUAACGAUUGAUUGGUGGUUGUUUCAAUCAGGCUUAGUCCUCUAUAUUUAUAGGAGAGGUGAACUUGUUUCCCAGGGUCUUUUCCACAUCCAAUAGAUGUUGAAACCAAUUAGAACUCAAAAAUCUCAGACCCAAGAAAAAAAAACCUGAGAUCCGACAAGUCGAACUGCUGGUACGACCGCCCACAUGUCGCCAGUGAGGCCGCCCCCCGCAGAUGAAUUAGACCGGCCCUAUGGUGGCGGUCCGACCGGCCUCACGUGGUAAGCCCGGGACCUUCUCAAAUUUGACCACAUUUUCAUAUUAUUACUCUAGGUGUGAUUUCGAUGUUAACCAUACAUAUGCUUGUACAAUUAUUCAUGCCGGUUUAUUAAAAAAAAGAAGAAGAAGAAGCAACCAACCCAAAAAGCCUGGCAAACAUAUAUCGUCUCUGUCCCCUCUAUAGGAUAGAAAUAAUAUACAAUGGCGACGGUUUCUUACAGCAAAACACCAUAUAUAAUUUUGUGGUAUACAUCCAUCAACAGAUCCACAUUCUUACAAUGCUUUCUAGCAAAGAUCAUGGCAAAUUUUGCCAAAGCUGCAACUAUAUAUAUAGAGAGAGAGAAAUCAUUACUAACCCACAUAAGAAUUUGCUGUUACAAUACUUAUAUUAUCGAAAAGCUCCCCUAUAUAGCACCAAACGAAGUUUAAUUCCAAACGAACGUGCAUCGCUAUAGCAUCAGUGAUCAAUCGAUCGAUCGAUCAUGUCAUCUUGCUAUCCCUGCACGCCUGCUCUUUCUCACAUCCACGCGUGUAUUUGUUAGCGAUGUCGCCGGGGUGGUUGAGCUGCGGUGUUCCAGGAAUAUGGUCGCGAUUCAUGGACGAGUAGUCGAUGACCUGCGCGACGACGGCGACAUCCUCGACGGCGAUGAUGAGGACGAGGAGAGCCACCAGGGACGACAGGCCGAGGACGGUCAGGUUCACCCUAGCUUUCGCCAUGUCGAUCGAUCGAGCUAGAGCUAGCUAGCCUCACACAGAUGACGACGGGAGUAGUCUUCUGGUUGGUGAAUCUGUGAUGAAUUGUUGGCUAUGGAUAACUGAUUUUAUAGUGUAGCGUGUGUCAAAGAUAUGAGAGGAUUAAUAUGGCUGGGUAGAGUGUGCGUUCUAGGGGUGUGUAUUACUGCACGCGUUCAUGAUUUCAUGGCAAAAACUAACAAUAGGAUGGAUCAUGGAUAGAUGGAUGGAUGGCUUCGUUUUGGCCGCAUGUAAUGUAUGGUGUGC
rnacentral:lncRNA from 1 species